CUACGGGGUGCUGCAGUGGGGAAUCUUAGACAAUGGGGGAAACCCUGAUCUAGCCAUGCCGCGUGAGCGACGACGGCCCUAGGGUUGUAAAGCUCUUUCAGCAGGGAAGAUAAUGACGGUACCUGCAGAAGAAGUCCCGGCUAACUCCGUGCCAGCAGCCGCGGUAAUACGGAGGGGACUAGCGUUGUUCGGAAUUACUGGGCGUAAAGCGCGCGUAGGCGGAUUGUUAAGUCGGGGGUGAAAUCCCGGGGCUCAACCCCGGAACUGCCCUCGACACUGGCAGUCUUGAGUUCGAGAGAGGUGAGUGGAAUUCCGAGUGUAGAGGUGAGAUUCGUAGAUAUUCGGAGGAACACCAGUGGCGAAGGCGGCUCACUGGCUCGAUACUGACGCUGAGGUGCGAAAGCGUGGGGAGCAAACAGGAUUAGAUACCCCGGUAGUC
rnacentral:rRNA from 1 species